GUUUUCAAUUUAAGUUUUAACAAGAACAAUGCAGUUGGGGAAAUUAUCAUCAAUAUGUCAUUUCAAGCAUCCAGAUGACCACCUAAGCCAUCCUCACCAACUUUCAGGCAGUUUCUUAGUAUACGCACGUUUUCCUUUCUGUCUUUCCAGGAGAAAGUUUCAUGUUAGGACACAUGCUGUUGACUUCGACUUCAGAAGUUCUCAGUCAUGCUGAUCUAGGAAUCUGACUGCCUUGUCCACAGUUAGUCAUCACCAGCCACAAAGCAAAUUCCAUUGUUUAACAAGCUGCAAUUGCCAACCCCAUUUAUACUGUUCUCCUUUAUAAAAACAAGGAUUC
rnacentral:lncRNA from 1 species